GCUCACAAUGGUAGCUCAGUAGGUAGAGCACGAGACUCUUAAUCUCGAGGUUGUGGAUUCGUGCCCCACGUUGGGCG